GACAGAGGGGGCAAGCGUUGCUCGGAAUUACUGGGUGUAAAGGGCGCGUAGGCGGGAUGGCAAGUCGGUCGUGAAAUCCCUCGGCUCAACCGAGGAACGUCGAUCGAUACUGCUGUUCUUGAGGAUUGCAGAGGAGACUGGAAUUCCCGGUGUAGCGGUGAAAUGUGUAGAGAUCGGGAGGAACACCGGUGGCGAAGGCGGGUCUCUGGGCAAUUCCUGACGCUGAGGCGCGAAAGCGUGGGGAGCAAACGGG
rnacentral:rRNA from 1 species